GACGAACGCUGGCGGCGUGCCUAAUACAUGCAAGUUGAGCGCUGAAGGUUGGUACUUGUACCAACUGGAUGAGCAGCGAACGGGUGAGUAACGCGUGGGGAAUCUGCCUUUGAGCGGGGGACAACAUUUGGAAACGAAUGCUAAUACCGCAUAAAAACUUUAAACACAAGUUUUAAGUUUGAAAGAUGCAAUUGCAUCACUCAAAGAUGAUCCCGCGUUGUAUUAGCUAGUUGGUGAGGUAAAGGCUCACCAAGGCGAUGAUACAUAGCCGACCUGAAAGGGGGGUCGGCCACAUUGGGACUGGGACACGGACCAAACUCCUACGGGAGGGAGCAGUAGGGAAUUUUCGGCAAUGGAGGAAAGUCUGACCGAGCAACGCCGCGUGAGUGGAGAAGGUUUUCGGAUCGUAAAACUCUGUUGGUAGAGAAGAACGUUGGUGAGAGUGGAAAGCGCAUCAAGUGACGGUAACUACCCAGAAAGGGACGGCUAACUACGUG
rnacentral:rRNA from 1 species